AUUGAACGCUGGCGGCAUGCCUUACACAUGCAAGUCGACGGUAACGGGCCUUCGGGUGCCGACGAGUGGCGAACGGGUGAGUAAUGUAUCGGAACGUACCUUCAGUGGGGGAUAACGUAGCGAAAGUUACGCUAAUACCGCAUAUUCUGUGAGCAGGAAAGCAGGGGAUCGCAAGACCUUGCGCUGAUUGAGCGGCCGAUAUCAGAUUAGCUAGUUGGUGAGGUAAAGGCUCACCAAGGCGACGAUCUGUAGCGGGUCUGAGAGGAUGAUCCGCCACACUGGAACUGAGACACGGUCCAGACUCCUACGGGAGGCAGCAGUGGGGAAUUUUGGACAAUGGGGGCAACCCUGAUCCAGCCAUGCCGCGUGAGUGAAGAAGGCCUUCGGGUUGUAAAGCUCUUUCGGCCGGGAAGAAAUCGUAUGGGUUAAUACCCUGUGCGGAUGACGGUACCGGCAUAAGAAGCACCGGCUAACUACGUG
rnacentral:rRNA from 1 species